UACGGAGGGUGCAAGCGUUAUCCGGAUUUAUUGGGCUUAAAGGGUCCGUAGGCGGAUCUGUAAGUCAGUGGUGAAAUCUCAUAGCUUAACUAUGAAACUGCCAUUGAUACUGCAGGUCUUGAGUAAGGUAGAAGUAGCUGGAAUAAGUAGUGUAGCGGUGAAAUGCAUAGAUAUUACUUAGAACACCAAUGGCGAAGGCAGGUUACUAUGUCUUAACUGACGCUGAUGGACGAAAGCGUGGGGAGCAAACAGG
rnacentral:rRNA from 1 species